CUCUUUGAAUAGUAUACAAUCAACAUUCAAGGAAGUAAUGAAAAAUAUUCUCACAUCCAUGGCCACGUUGACAUGAUGCGUAAUUUGUUUGCAUAUUUAUUCUAAAUAAUUCAUAAUUAAGCGUAUUUACCAUUAGACAUGGG